GACGAACGCUGGCGGCGUGCCUAAUACAUGCAAGUUGAGCAAUGAAGAUUGGUGCUUGCACCAAUUUGAAGAGCAGCGAACGGGUGAGUAACGCGUGGGGAAUCUGCCUUUGAGCGGGGGACAACAUUUGGAAACGAAUGCUAAUACCGCAUAACAACUUUAAACAUAAGUUUUAAGUUUGAAAGAUGCAAUUGCAUCACUCAAAGAUGAUCCCGCGUUGUAUUAGCUAGUUGGUGAGGUAAAGGCUCACCAAGGCGAUGAUACAUAGCCAACCUGAGAGGGUGAUCGGCCACAUUGGGACUGAGACACGGCCCAAACUCCUACGGGAGGCAGCAGUAGGGAAUCUUCGGCAAUGGACGAAAGUCUGACCGAGCAACGCCGCGUGAGUGAAGAAGGUUUUCGGAUCGUAAAACUCUGUUGGUAGAGAAGAACGUUGGUGAGAGUGGAAAGCUCAUCAAGUGACGGUAACUACCCAGAAAGGGACGGCUAACUACGUG
rnacentral:rRNA from 1 species